GCAAGAUACCACGGGCGCACGGCGGAUGCCUUGGCACAGGGAGCCGAUGAAGGACGCGGCAAGCUGCGAUAAGCCCCGGGGAGGCGCAAACGGCCUUCGAUCCGGGGAUUCCCGAAUGGGGGAACCCAGCAGGGGUCAUGCCCUGCUACCCGCACCCGAAUCCAUACGGUGCGAGGAGGCAACCGGGGGAACUGAAACAUCUAAGUACCCCGAGGAAGAGAAAUCAACCGAGAUUCNNAGUAGCGGCGAGCGAAAGGGGACCGAUGGCCAAACCGUCGAGCGGGCAUACCCGGCAGGGGUUCCGCCGACGGGGUUGCAGGGCCGCGCAUCCGGGGGCUGCCGCCCCCGGGCGCAGGUCCGGCUGGGGAGCGGAACGGCAUGGGA
rnacentral:rRNA from 1 species